ensembl:lncRNA
UAGACACGGGGUUCAACUGCUAGAAUAAUAUGUCUAAUUAAUAAAUGGUGCACAUGGUUUUAAACGGUGCCCAAGGAGGGAGUUAGCUCAACUGCGGUAGACACAAUUACAAUACGUUUUUUGCGAAUAUUAAAGGUACAUGGGUUAAAUUCUACUAUAAUCAGCUACUACAUACGAAUAGACUGAAUAACACUGCGUGAGGUGUUCAGGGUCAACUAUUGCUUCCAUUGGAGCGAUUGCAAUAGAUAUAAUAUCAUACCACCAAUAUGCAUGCAAUAUCUUGUAUUCAACAAUUAGGAAUGCCGGAUUCCAGAACCGAAAGAAGUCCUACAAAAGGACACCAACCCAGGGGUCUUGCAUCAAACCAGAUCCCUGUACGACAAUUACACGGGUCGUUCAAAAUCCUUUGAGGUCCUAUGUUUCCAGAAGCAAGGUGAGUACAGUGUAUCACUCUGACACAGCUAACUUUGCACCUAAUGCUUACGGUUAGAUUCAUGCUUACACUUACAUUUCUAGGGUCCCAUAAUGGACUUCCAUUAGAACAAUUAAAAAUAGAAUUAUAGGAAAUGUUUUUGAACAACUAACUGCUGUACAUGAGUUUGUAUUUCUACAAUAGAAACAAAAGUUCCAGAACCAGAUGCAGACACACCCGGAGCCGAUAAACUGCCUCCGCCGAGCAAGGAGCAGUCACAUGAGGAGAUCAAAUAACGGCAGGAGUUGAAUUGGUUCUGUUUUGCUUGUCCACCAUAUAAAAAUGAUGUAUAUAUAUAUUGUUUAGAUAAAUUACAUGUAUCAUAAUCAGCAACACUUCGUUCAGUUUAACAGAUAAAGUUAAAAGGAAUAUGUAUAUAUAUGGAAAUGUUAUUGACAGAGCAAGGAG